rnacentral:rRNA from 1 species
AGCGCAGGCGGGAAGACAAGUUGGAAGUGAAAUCCAUGGGCUCAACCCAUGAACUGCUUUCAAAACUGUUUUUCUUGAGUAGUGCAGAGGUAGGCGGAAUUCCCGGUGUAGCGGUGGAAUGCGUAGAUAUCGGGAGGAACACCAGUGGCGAAGGCGGCCUACUGGUCACCAACUGACGCUGAGGCUCGAAAGUGUGGGUAGCAAACA